rnacentral:rRNA from 1 species
CCUACGGGUGGCAGCAGUCGAGAAUCAUUCACAAUGGGGGAAACCCUGAUGGUGCGACGCCGCGUGGGGGAAUGAAGGUCUUCGGAUUGUAAAACCCUGUCAUGUGGGAGCAAAUUAAAAAGAUAGUACCACAAGAGGAAGAGACGGCUAACUCUGUGCCAGCAGCCGCGGUAAUACAGAGGUCUCAAGCGUUGUUCGGAAUCACUGGGCGUAAGGCGUGCGUAGGCUGUUUCGUAAGUCGUGUGUGAAAGGCGCGGGCUCAACCCGCGGACGGCACAUGAUACUGCGAGACUAGAGUAAUGGAGGGGGAACCGGAAUUCUCGGUGUAGCAGUGAAAUGCGUAGAUAUCGAGAGGAACACUCGUGGCGAAGGCGGGUUCCUGGACAUUAACUGACGCUGAGGCACGAAGGCCAGGGGAGCGAAAGGGAUUAGAUACCCCAGUAGUC